rnacentral:lncRNA from 1 species
UUGUGCAUUGAGAUGCACGGCGGGCCAGGUUUUCAAUCUGGAAACCCAAAAGCAAAUUAUAGAUUCCUAGCAUCGAGUAGUACCACUGUUGAUGCGCGGAGCCCAAGUUCUUAAUUGGUGUACCAUACAUCUGGCAAGAGUGCAUAUAGCCGAGAUCUCUCCCUGUCGAAUAGGAAUUUCAGGAUUUAUGCUCAUUGCGCCGCCCAUCGCCGAAGUUUUCACACCGCAUCGUUCUACUAACACAAUUUGGCAUUUCCAAAGUUGACGUGUCUGUAGUGUAGUGAAACACCUGAACUACUUGAAACCAGGUAAUAUAGAAAGGAAAGAGGGUUUUAGGAGAUUCUCUGCCGAUGAAUGCAAUGAACUGUAUAUCAUACAUG